rnacentral:rRNA from 1 species
GACGAACGCUGGCGGCGUGCUUAACACAUGCAAGUCGAACGGAAAGGCCCUGCUGUUUUGGGUUGCUCGAGUGGCGAACGGGUGAGUAACACGUGAGUAACCUGCCCUUGACUUUGGGAGAACUUCAGGAAACUGAGGCUAAUACCUAAUAGAAGAUCCUACUUCAUGGUGGGGGGUGGAAAGUUACGUCGGUUGGCGAUGGACUCGCGGCUGAUCUGCUUGUUAGUGGGGUAUUGGCUGACCAAGGGUUUGACGGGUAGCCGGCACGAGAAGGUGACCGGCGCCAAUGGGACUGCGAGACGGAGCAGACUCCAACGGGCGGCAGUAGUGGGGAAUAUUGCACAACGGGCGGAAGCCUGAUGCAGCAGCGCCGCGUGCGGGAUGCCGGCCUUCGGGUUGUAAACCGCUUUCGCCUAUGAAGAAGCGUGAGUGACGGUAAUGGGUAAAGAAGCCACGGCUAACUACGUG